ACCGUGCCCUAAGCCCGAUGUCGCUCCUCCCCUCUCGCUGCGACACCGAGCCCUUCCUCCCCAACCCAUCGCUAAUCUGCUUCUCCCCCAAGCCCUCACGCAACGACGCCGCCCUCGCCUCCUUCGCCGAACCUUUCUCCCAAACCCAUCCUUUGCUGAUUCCCUCUCCAUUCACCUCUUUGCGCUGCCGCCGACGCCUGAUUAAGGCCUCCCUGAUGUCGGUGCUCAAGAGCCCAUCGAGUGCCACCCAUGUGCUGCCUCUCGAAGCAAUGCCAUCGUCCGUGCAAAGGCCACUCGGCAAUGUUGGAGAUAUGUCGCCUACAUCUCAUAUCCACAGAUCUCCGAUCGCGUCGACACCGCGUGAUCACCAUCGGCUGAGUUUUUCUUCUCCUCUUCCAAUCACCUGGGUUCCAUCUGGCUGUUGUCUUCUCCACGUCGACACCCUUACAUGAGCUAGUCUUCGGUCAAGAAUGGGGAUCCAAACCCUAGCUCUGAUUUUCCCAUCGUUGCAGCUACGUUACAUAGCUCCAACCACUAGAAUCACUUGUUCACUUUUAAGAUUGGAACUUUCACCGUCGGUCCUUCUUCGCCAACCUCAACAGCUGCAUGUUGUUGGUCUCCAAUAGAGAAGGAUCUACCGGCAAGGAAUUAGGCUCUGGCCUUGCUCCCGGUAGCAGCUUCACUGUAGCUUCAACCAUGAAUUCCCGUCUGCAAGUACCUCUACCGUGGCUCAAUAGAGAAGUCUUCAAAUUUAGGAUUCGAGUUGGAUGUGAUCUUUUGGACUUAUUGAAGAUGGUUGACACGAUCUUCUAUUAAAGGUAGCAGGUAUAUGAAUCAACGAUGCUUGAGAGAGUCCUGGCUGUCGGUCCUAUGUCACAUCCGAAGACUGCAUCGAAUUUCGUUUAUUCUUUACUUGUAUUUUGUAUUUGGUGUUAUAUUAAUUCGAUUAUCUUUUGGAGUUUAUUAUGUGGAGUUGAAUUUUGUGUUAUUGUGGUUGUUGUAUAAAGUCUAGCCGGCUAGCGGUGUGUUGUUUUAGUUUGUAUGGGCUUUCUUUAUCAUUUUCCGCUGUGUUGGUUUAUAGUACAGCCGAGUGAGAUGUUUAAUAUAUGUUUAUAAACUAUGUGGUUGUGUAUAUAUUCCAACCG